AUGGGCCAAGUGCUAAGCAUUCAGCACCCUUCAAGCCUUGCUGGGGGAAGGAGGACCCUCUGUUGCAGGAAAAGUGUUGCUUCUGUACCCAGCACCUGCAAGAAUGUGCAGGAGACACAUAAUGAGUGGCUGUGCAGGCAGCAGAGAUGAGGGAUCCCUUUCCACUGGGAUGAUCAGAGACACCUCAUGGUGACAACAGAGCUGUGUUUGGAAGGACAAGAAUUACAAUAGGCAGAGCCAUAAAGGAAGAACAAAGCAGAGAGAGGAAUCUGAGCAAAACACAGAGAAGGAAACAUCUUCUGGUCUUCGAUUGGAGUACCUGGGUCGUCUGACCUCGUGGCAUCUUCUAGCCAAGACUCCAGGAGCCGCUCCGUUAGCCUGGAAGUUGAAGGGUGAGAGUUGGGAAGGCCUCCAAGGACCAUUCAGGGAUUGGAGAGGGCAAAGAAUGGAGGAUGGUUUCUUUGUUCUUUUUGCCUGGGGAUGCCUUUCAGCCUAUCCCAGUCACUAUCUCCACAACCCUGCCUUUUAGGACAGUCUUGGGGACUAGGUGGCAAGAAACAGACAGACACUUAGGGGAAUUACAUCUGAUAUGAGCAUUUACAAGCUAAAUGUAAAGCGAUCACCCCUCCUCUGAUCAUAGCCCAGAAAUCUAUGAGGUUGUUUAC
rnacentral:lncRNA from 1 species